AUGUACCUGCCAUCAACGUCGUACACAGGUUGUUAUGGUGGAACCACAUUGGCAAACAUCUCAUGGCAAGCUUCACAGUUGCAGGCCAACGCUAUUGCAGAUAGAGCACAUCAAAUUGGAAUGACAAACCAGAUACGAUCAGCACAUGCGGCACAACAAGGACCUUCAACUACAAUCAACAGUGGCAUGGGGACAUCUACUGCGGGAACCUCUGAGCACACGGAAGAAGCGUUCCACCAGCCAGUCAACAAUCCUGCCACAAACAAUGCAGAGUCAGUGUCGGAAAUGGCAAUAGUUCCAGCAAUGCUGACAAGCACACCUUUGCACACCAGCACAAGCAACACUCAAGCAGAUGAAACAACCGUCGAUACUGAAGUGAAUGAUGAAGCUGAUGACGAAGCACAAGGGGAUGAAGAAGGUGGGCAAUCAGAAAUCAUGGUACCUCAGCCACCAUAUGUUGGGCAGAGAUUUGAUUCGUUCGAAGAUGCCAAGGAAUUCUACCAGAGAUAUGCAAUGUUCCAUGGGUUUGCGGUCAACACCAAAUACCAUAGGAAAAUUAAAAAACUAACGUGUACAGCAGAGCACAACCACGAACUCAUAAAGAAGUUUGGCCUGGUAAAAUUUCUGAGCGCCCACAGAGGAUUCAGCCCCCUCGAGAAUAAAUUCAUAAAGCUGCUACAUGAUUGUAACGUCGGUCCAUCAAGAAUGGUCCAGAUACUGUCCAUGAUCCAUAGCAAAAAUGGGACUCUGAGUAGCAUGCCCUACAUACCAGCAGACGUCACAAACCUAAAGGCAAAGUACCGUAGAGAGAGCAGAUUCAAGGAAGAAAUAAAGCGUGCCAGCAUGUACACGGCUUACCAGGUGGACGAACAUACGUUCAAGGUGUGUUCUCUCUUGGGCAUGUCGGAUUCAGAACCUGAAGACCCAGACAAAGGAAGGAACUACUUUGUGAAGGCCUCGAUAAACGAAGGAGAAUACUACUGCCAAUGUUGCAAAUUCGAACGGGACGAGAUUGUGUGCUGUCACAUACUAAAAGUAAUGGACAUGAACGUGGUCACGCGAAUGCCCCACCAUUUCAUACGGCGGCGAUGGACUUGGGACGCUGACUACGCGUUGGGGCCACAAACAUCAAGCGCAGUUUUGGUUGUGCAUGAUGAGAGACCAGAGGCAACCAUGGAAGCCGUGAGGCACGUUGUGUUGACCAAGAACUAUGCUGAACUAAUAGAUGAAGCAUGCAAGAGUGAUGAGACAGCGAGGGUGGCAGAAAAACACAGGAAGGCCCUGCAAAGAGAGCUUGAUGAGAUCAAAAAGAGGAAAGCUGAAGAAGCCUUACACAGGUUCCCCCGCACCUCAAGUGUGCCUUCGUCCACGGGGCCAUCAUCUGAAAACUCGAAGGUAGGGUCUGAAACAGCAAGCACACAAACCCAGGUCAGGAACCAGCCCCGUUCCAUCACAAAAGGGCGUUCAAAAGAGGUGAGAUACAACUCGGGGUUGGAGAUUCAAGCAAAACAAAAGAAAACAAAGAAAGGGACGGGCAAUCCGUAA
rnacentral:rRNA from 1 species